rnacentral:ncRNA from 1 species
UCAAAGGCUGAGAUAGGGAGCAAGUAACCUGAUAGUUCUGGCCUCAGAGAGCCGGGGUAGCUGCGAACCGGCGCCGGUACAGGUGAAAAAGUCGCCCUGGAGCCGCUGGCUGAAUUUUUUUAGUAAGCCUGGCCGGGUCGGUCACCCGUUACCAAAGCUGUGUCCUGAUGGGGACACAAAGUGGCUUCUGCUUUCCGGCGGAGCAAGCAGGGUGGUACCGCGCGAGGAAUUAACCUCUCGUCCCUGGC